ACAUUUCUGUUCUUGCAGUACAUGAGACAGCGUCCUGUGGGAUUGCACGAAGAGGGCUGUUGAGCUGGUGGGAGCAGAGUGAGAGCCCCAAGCUGCUGCCAUGCAACCUGGCUCUCAUCUCAAACAGGGUGAGACUUGGCACAGCUGUAUGUGAGUGCAGGGAAAGGCUUGCAGCCCAUUAGAGGACUGCAUAAGAGCUGAGGAUGUGACAGAGCUGCAGAUCUGCCUGGAAGAUUCCCAUAGCAGGUGUAAGCAAGGGCCAGAGCUGAAAUAGUGGGAGCAGCAGUACCUAGGUAGGGUGGGAGAGCUGCAGUGGAGGUGCCAGCCCAGGAGGAGGAUGGGCUGCUUGGAGUUCCACGCAGAAGCAUGGCACAUGAGAGGGAAGGAAAGAUGAGAUGUUCAAAAGGGGUCUUGGCAGAGCCACAGGAGAAGACCCAGCAUGGUUCAGGAGAGGACACACACUGCCCACCGGGAAAGGCUUGUGGGUGAGUAUGGAGUCUCUGACCAUGCCAGCCUCUAGCAAUGGCAGACACCUGCUGCUGAUAGGUUAUUUAGCUCAGCCUCUCUGCAAACUCAAUCCCUGCCACCAGAGCCUUCCCUAAGGUGGGAGUUUCCUCCCUUUACCGUGAAAGUGAUGGGAUCUCCUGGCCGAGAUAUGCAAGAACAGUGCCUCUGAACAGCAUCUAGUGCUCUGGGUGCAAAAAGAUGACUAAAAGAUCCAUGGGAACUUCUUCCUCUUCUCUCUCCUCCCUCCCCACUUUCCUGGUUCAACCCCUAUUCCUUUCGGGAUAUUGGACUUUGAUUCAGGAAAGCAGCCCCAGGUCCCGAGCAACAUUUGUCCUGGGCACAAGGGCAUCAGAAACAGAAUCAUGACUGUCAGCAGAACCGGGAAGCGCAGGCCUGCGUGGUCCCUAGGGGGAAAUUAUUUGCUGAUUGCAUCUGUUUCCCAGAAGCAUCACUCCAAUUUAUCCUGGGAUUCACGUUUUUCUCCAGCAAAUAAGCACCUCGGGAGCUUCAUUUCCAUCUCAGAUGUUAAAUUUAGAAGUGGUGCUUCCCCUUCUCCCAUCCUCUCCCUGCCCCCUCCCCAAUGGCUCCCGUAUCUCCCCUCCAGCCCCCACCCUCACCUCCAGCUCUCCCUCUUUGUCGCAUUACAUAGUAAUCUGAGAUGCAUUGGCCGAGCUCCAGGGAACAGAAUGUACUUGGCAGGGAGACGGGUCUUGAUGUCUGCAAAAUGUCGGGAAAUGCAGCCAAGAGCUGCUAACUGGGUCAUUAACCUCUAGAAGAAGAGCAAGUUGUGGAGCUGUGCUCUGUCUCCCUUCAUCUCGCCAAUAAAAAUGUCCCAGCAACGAGAGAGGGAAGAAGAGGUUUACAGCUUUAAGUCCUAAGCAGUCAAUGCAGCCACCCUCCCUGGCCCCCCUUCUCCCUACCCUCUCCCCCAGCGCAGCAUUAAAGCUUAUAAGUGGCCUUUUAAAAUCACAGCGAUUCCCGCGGAGCUGUCCCUCGGUGCUUGUAAAGAGGCUACUGGAGCAAACCAGUCGCUUCCAGAGGCGUGCUGCUCCUGCCAUUCGUGGUCAGAGGGGCUCUGAGGAAGGGCCUUUCUGUUGGGUUGCAGCCCCUGUGUGAGGUGGGACAGGGUGCUGCUAUCACCCACAGACCUGAGUGUCCCAACCUCUUCGCUGUCCCCGUGAGCCGUGUGCCACAUUUCUUGGCCGUUCCAUUGCCAUGAGUUGCCUUUCUACACAGUGGUGCUGAAGUCGGGAAGAGGUGGCUGGUUCCUCUGUGUGGGGAAGGGGUGCAGUGCAGUGAGAUGGGCCGAGGAGGGCCCCAAGCACAAACGGCUCAGCCCGUGUCACUUGGUGCAACUUGAAAGAAAGCAAAGCUGUUUGCUGACAACGUUGAGGUCUCUGUAAUCUGGAGGGGGGUUGGAGGGCAGGCUGUGGGCUCCCCAGAACUGGUGCCCACCAUUGUCUGCCCAGAAGAGGUAGCCAAAGAGUGGGGGAGGGAGCUGCAUCUCCCAAAACCUUCCACAACCCAUACCAGCUGUUGGUGGAGCAGACUGCAGGAUGGAGGUCAGUGUGGUGGUGGAUGGGAGAGGGGAAGAAAGCUGUUGCGUGGCUGGACCUCUUCCUCGGGGAUGUGGUUUCCAUCCCUCUCCUCUUCCAGAGCAGACCCUGCCUCAGGAACUGUUGACUGGGCUGUCCAAGGACUCCCCUGCUUACUUCUACACCUGAUGCCAUUACAUUGGACUUCCAUGAGUUUUUCUACCCAAGUACACCUUCCCUUUGCCCUUAAUCCAUCCUCCGUUAUAAAAGAAUGUGUAAAAUAUUCUGUCUAGGCAGAAACAGCGGAAAGCACUGCCUUCAAAGCUGUACCUCUCCAGGUGAGCCAAGCGAGACAAGGCGGAAAUGAACCACAGCCUAGGAGUGCAUUGGGUCCUGCAUGAGGACAGCAUGCUGACCUGAAGAUGACAUUCGGUGCCAUUCCCUGCGAGCAGGACACUCGCGGUGCUUUGUGGCGACAACACCGCAGCGCGAAGGCACCUGGAGGGCGUCCUGUCGUCAGCUACCCAGCAAACGGAGCCUGGGGAAAGGCUGGGACAACCUCGAGCGACGCCAAGCUCCGGCAGCCCCGUUCUGCUCCGUGACCCCUCCCCGCACGGCCGGGGGAGGCCGCACCGCCGCUCCCCGAGCGCCCUCUGCUGCCUCUCCGGGGCUGGAGCAGGUGCACGGCCCGGGGCUCUCCGGGGCCGCUCCUCGCCGCCCUGCGGCCAUUUGCAGUGGCCGUAAUACCGCCCUCGUCCCCUCCUCCUCUUUCCCACCCUAUACCCUAUGAGCCAACGAGCGGAUAGCCCGGGUCCUCCCUGACUUCGCCAGGUGCUUUUCCUCGGGUGCUUUGCGGACCGCGGAGCAAACGCCAAAAAAAAAAAAAAAAAAAGCGGGCUCAAUUCGCAGCUUAGCAUCUUUGAAAGCCUUCUUAGAAGAGAUACGAUUUCUAAGGGAGGAGCUGAGCGAAGGCCCCUUUGAAAUCACUGACCCAGAUGAAGCGACACCCGAGCCCCUAUGCCCGCUGCAGCCGCUACCGCCACACUGCUCUCCUUUCAGCAGCGUUUUGCUCGGAGGAAAUGAAAGCAUCGGAAAAGGAAACGGGGCUGAAAAGGCUCAGAUCCCAAGCGAGCGGGCUUUUGUUUUCCUAUUGUGCUAGCCCAGCUGAGCCUGUGUUGGAGCAGAGCCCUCCUGCAGCUGGGCCCAAAAACAGCAGCCAAAGAGAAACCCCGGCAACCGGCAGUGCAAAAGGAGAGGGAUGGGCAGAGCCUGCAGAACUCGACCCUGGUGGGGAGGAGAGGUGAGGGGCUGCUUCUGCACAUCCCAAGGGUUGCUGGGGCCGAAAGUGGCUUUGGAAAAACACCGCUGCACAUUGGUGAUACAUGUGCUGCUUCACAUGCAGAGCUGGAGGUAUAGCUGCCAUUUCUGCCGAAAUCCUUCCUUGAGGGCAUGCCUGAAACAACUGGGCUCUGCAAGAGUGAGCACUGUCCAGAGCGCAGCCCUGCUAGCUCGGUGUUGGCACAGGGACAGCACUGCUUUCUCUUCCAGUAAGCAAGGGGUUAAACUCAGCCUGGCUUCCCCUGUGUGCCCUGUUUGGGGAAUGGUCUCGUGGGUACCCAACCAGUGACAAGGUGCCUGUAGAAGGGAGCCCAUUGCUCAGAGGUUGAUAUAAAAAGGGAUGAGUCUGGUAAGGUUGCCUCAUGGCUUUUCUUGCCUUUCUUAGGCAGAACAGAUCUGCUGGAAGUGUUAAGUAGCGCUCAAUGCAAAAGCGGCACCGGACUCACAGGGAUGCUGAGCUUUGCCAUAUACCUACUGCAGCUGGGUUCAUGGUCCCCUCUUGGGUUCCAUCUGCUUGAGCUGAAGGUGGUGUUGUCCUUUGUGACCAAAAAGGCUGCCUCUGAUGUUGAAGCCGCUGUCAGCCCAGCUGACACAGCAGAGGUGACAGAAACCUUUUCCUCUCACUUGGGUGAUGCUGGAGAAUGACGCCUAAGGACCGUGCCCUUCAGGAACCUUGCUGAGCCUCUCCUGGCCUAACUCUGAAAAGCAUGACAUAACUGAAGCUGGGGACACAGACUCCAGUGCUUAUGGUGAUUUAUUCGUUCCCAGACUGAGGGUUUGUCUCCCCGAAUUCUUACUUUAAUGAGACUGCAAUCACAGAAUCAUAAGUAUGGCUUGGGUUGGAAGAGACCUCGAAGACCACCCUUCUCAUGGGCAGGAUUGUCACCCACUAGAUCAGGGCCUGAAAGCAGCACUGAGUCACUCGGUAAAGAAGCCUAUUUUGACAGCAUCCCCCUGGCCUAAGCAGGAAGUUCUCCAAGUCUGAAGACAUGGAGAGUUCUGGAUCUCGCAUGGUUAAAGCCCAGAUGUGCAAACCCUGAGAGGUGCUUAAGCUUCUGGAAAUGUUUAGACCGUGCAAAACUGGCAGUGCCGAGAGCCUCAUCUGUCACCGGAGUCAACCAAAAAGGUGUCUGCAGCACAAAUCCCCAAUCCUACGGUCACAUUCUUUGAAGUUCUGUUCUCUAACAUGACUAUUUUUAACAAAGGGGAGGGGGACAGUGGGGAGAAGCUCCAUCUUACUCACCAAAUCUGCGGGCUCCCUGUGUUCUGAGUCAUAGCUGCUGGCUGCACUGACAAAAGCAAGCUUUUUUAAUUUGAUUUCUACCCUCAUUGGUACAGUAGAGGGGGCACAGCAAAGACAGGGACAGCAGUAGGAUUGUGCAAGCAUCAACAAGAUGAUAAAUGGAUCCAUCAGUUUUCCUUGCUGGGAAUAAUAAUAAAGAGAAGCCCGAUUUUUCUCCCAGACCUCAGCAGGAGUUUUGCAAGGUAGAAAUCGGGCAUGGGAAGGAAGGAGGUUAGGAGGAAGAGGUGGAAAGUUGUUCAUCAGUAGAAGAGAGAUACAACUAUGAGCAUUCGAUGUACCACCAUCGUUCCUCUGUAUAACACCAUGUCAGUGUUGCUUUACAUAGAAGAGACACUGAAGCAGAUCCCUCCACAAACCAUACAUCUGACAAAUGGGCAUCUCCCAGCAGUGCCUGUGUGUGACGUGAUGCUAAGGAAGGCGCAGAGGCGGUCACCCCGUGUGAAUCCAACCACCUGCCUGCGUCUUCUGCAAUGAGGAAGGAAGGGAAACAAGUGAAGGAUCGAAAGGGGAAGAGCUGGGUCUCUUGGUAUUCGCUAGCUAUACGGUGCCUGCCAUGAACGAGUCAGCACUUGUUAGCACUUCCUACGUGGUGGGAUGUGGCACACCACACUCCUCACCCCGUGCACAGAAGAGGAAAUUGCUGAUAACUGUGAUAGUUUGCUGUUGGGCUACCUCACUUCGGUUAUCUAAACUGUUAUAAAAUACAUCAAGGUGAAGAAAGGGGCCUUUCGGUUGCAUGCUAAAUAUCACCCUGCUUUCUGUACUCCAACAUUAUCUGUUGCUGCUCUGCACUGUCAAGCUGAGAUCUCACCCCGAAGCAGUUGUGUUUCAGCACUGAAUACAGCAAUUCCUAACAUGUGAAUGGCCAUACGCCUCAUGCUCCCACAGCCAAAAUCUCCAUUAGGGCUUAUUUUAUAGCAGUUCAUACCUUUGUGUUUGCAGAAGACUUUGGGUACCAUCUGGGAAAAAUUGUUCUUUGUUAAAUUCUCCUUUAUUCCCUUUGGGUUAUGUUUUUAAGGCAGGAGAUGCUGAAGGAUGUUCUGAGGACGGUAAAAGCAGCUUGAAAUGAAGAUGUAGGAGGAAAAGUACUCAAGCUGUUUUUCUGCUUUUGCGAUUGAAAGGAAACUCAUGAUAUAGCAAAUUUUCAAUGGCACAAGAAAUUCUGCUGUCUACUUCAACAUGGCACUAUUAGGCCAGCAACAGGGGGAGCAGCUGCUCAGCCAUUGUAUAAUUGACAUCGCUGAUAAUGACCUUGGAUUCAUAAUUAAGGUUCAUGAGGAUCAGAGGAGGAAAAAAAAAAAAAAACCCAGCCCUAUCCUUACAAAAAAAAAUGAUAUAAACAACUGUGUGAGUGAGCACAUUGGAACACAACUGAGGGCUGAAGAAAUCCUGCCAGUCCCAGGGCCCUGCAGGGGGUGAGAUGUGGGCGCUGGCGCUGGGAGAGUUUCCAGCUCUCUCCUGGUGAUGCUGAGCACUUGACCAGAAGUGCUGACAUUUUAAGAGGAGGUCAGAGAGGCUGGGGUUAGAACACGCUACUGAAAACAACAAGAAAAAAGAAAGGGAAAAAAAAAGUAUUUUUGCUGGGAAUGAAUGGACAGGUUCAUGGCAGUAACACUGGAUCUGCAGCAAGGCGUGUUGCCUCCCAGUGUAAUCAGUGCCUCAAAAACACAUGCUGGCAUGUGUUGGAUGUCGAUACCUCCUUUAUCAUACAUAUUUGAGAGCUCAGACUUCAACUGCCACCUGAAAUGAGCACUGUGGUUUUCUUUCCCCACUCAGUGGGUUAUUUGGUUAUGAUUCUGUAUCCUUUCCUGAGGCUCUUUAGAGUCCCGUGUAACUUUCAUCCAUUUCUCUUUCUAGCAAAAAUAUAUUUCAGGAAGUUCCAUAAUUGCACAUGUCUAUAUGGUGAGGUUUGGCACAGAAAACCUGGUGUGAGGUUGGCUUUUUUCUUCCCUUUCAACUUACAAUGUUUAAAUAGGGUUCUUACACAGAUUCAAAAAACACAUUCUGCUGGGUCAUGCUGGAGCUUUGAGUCAUAACUUUUGUUAAACAGGGAAGAAAAUCCACCAAGUAUUAUGAUGCAAACAGUCCUUAUGGAGAAUCCCGCACUGCUCCUGCGUGCAGAGAAUUUGCCACUCAGUUUCUGUUGUGCAUUUUGAACUACAAACCUGCAGGCAAGUGUGGCAGUGCUCAGAGUUCAGCAGAACUUGAGUACUCUGGGUUUUGUUUGGGUUGUGCUUUAUUAGGCUUUAGGCUAUUAAGGGAGGGGACUCCAAUUUCCUUUAAUAAAUAAUGUUUGCGUGCACUUGGGAAAUGGCAAUCAUGUUUUGCUAACUACUGAAACCUAAUGCAUGAGAAAUGUAAAGCUGGAUGAGCACCGUUUUAUUCCAGAGUUUGAGUUGCAUUCUUGGAUGGGGUUACAAGCCUUUUUGACUGUGGGGUAGGAGCUCUGAAGCGAUGCCUUUCAGAGCUGCCUCGAAACACCACUAAAUGACUGCUUUCAUGAGACUCAUUCUUAAUCAGGAGGCGCCUGGUACCUUAUGGAAGAUGGAUCCCGUCAAGCCAGACUUGGGAUUAUUUGUGAUGAAAUUAAAAAUAUGGUCAAUAAGAUACUUGUGGUUUGAGACUCAUGAAAAAUAUUUGUCUUGGUACUCAAAAUACUUAAACUAGAAUGAUUCAAAAUCAAUGUGGAAGAGUAAAAGGAUUAAACUGGCUUGGAAACACAUCCCAAAAGGUAAUUGUAAACAGGAAAUCAGAAUGGAGUGGGUGUAUUUCUCGUGGGGUCUCCAAGAUUGUUUUGUAGCCCUAAAUGACCGAAUGUUUUACAAAUGGCCAAGCAGAAAACAGCAGUCAGGCACCAGCGUGGCACAUGACACGAGGCCUGGUCAGGGGCUGCUUGGUGAGCUGAACAGGUGAAGCACCACGUUCUGUAGUGACCUCACGCCCAGAGAGGGAAGGUCUGGUGAAGCCAACUCCCUUCUGCUGCAGCCAUUUGCUCAGACCUCCUGGUGCAGUCCAUGAACAUGUGAUCCUCGAGGGAAAGCAGCACGAACAGUGAUAAAAUACUUGAACUGCAGCUGUCCCCUAUGAGAAGCCACAGACAACACUGUCAGGGUGCCCUGGUUAUUGUCUGGCUCUGCAGUCCAUAUGAGAAGAAGAGUCACCGAAACAAGGAUGGGCCCUACCAGUUAUGGGUGAGAUUGUGCUAGAAGAAGUUGAAAUGCGGAAGAGAAGUUGCUUAUGGCAUGUGAAGAAUGAGGCUGUUCGAGACAGGAUGCCAGGAGGUCUUUGACCUCCUAGUCAAUGAAGAAAGGUCCUUUUUUAGGCUCCUAAGUAUGCCUGGAUUCAGACAAAGUGUAGUUUGCUCCAGCCGAGCUCCCAGCCAUUUUCCCUGCUGAUGAGUUUUCCUGUUUACUCUCAUUGCACAGGGUGGACUGAUAGAGCUUACACUGACUUGGACAGAGCGGAGGAAGUUAAAUGUAGCAUCUGAAAGAAUAAAGAAUGAGAAUUAAGUACUGCACAGGCCGUGGGGCUGAGUUAAGGCCAUUAGUUGCAAGAAAGAAAUGGUAGUGGUAGGCAUUUCCAGAUCUGAGUGUAAGUGUAGCUGGAAGCUACAGGGCAGCAGGACCUCCUGGCUCUAGAUAAAAUAGAACAGUGCUUCCAGAGCUCCCUAAAAUACUCUUCCGUCAAAACUAAUGAACAGAUUACUUUCUGCCAGUGCAAGUGACUAGACAGGUAGCAACAGCAUUUAAAGCCUGAUCCACCUCUGUCAGAAGGUACACGGAGUAGGCACAGAACAACAGCUCGGGAUUGCCCAUCCGAGAUGUGAAGCAAGACUAAGUAUGGUUACUUGAAGAGGAAAUAAGGGUCAAGAUGUUCACUCAUGUCCACACAUGGCUUAUAAAACUGGUGAUUGGGUUGUCUUGGCUCUGUGACGAUGAUGUCCCUGCUGAUGGAGCCUUCUCCUGUCUCACCUCCCGGUGCUGGCUGGCUGCUGGCUUUGUUUUUGUUUCGUUUUUUUUUUCCCCUUCUAAGGGCUUAUAAAAGGCUGUUUAGUUUUGUUUUUAAAGGGUGAAGAGGGGAAAAAACAACUUCCAGAAAAAAAACAACAGCUCAAGCUCCAGGAGCCAGAUCUUAGCAUGAGAACCCGACUCACUGUAGGGGAGGGCUGUGUCAGAUCACUGCAUGCUCCAGGAGCAAGAAUUCAGUGCCUGCUGAAAAGCCACAGAACUCAGACCCUAUUUGAAAGAGUAACAUCUUUGAUAUAAAAAAACAAAAACAAAUAAACAACAACAGCAAAAAAAAACCCCAUCACCCAGCCAAUAAAAAGCCUCAGACAUACAGGAUCCCAUUCAUGGUGGGAGGGAUUUAGUGGAAGUAUUUUCCUUCUUUAAGGUUUGGCAUGGCCUUAAAGGAGUCUCUUUAAAAGCUUCCAGAGCCGAUUAUAUUUUGGAUUGUGUUUCACAUCACCCUUCCCCCACCACGUUUGGUGGGUCCUCAAACGAGUUCCCAGAAUAAAUCAGACAUAACGGUAGCGGGAUUUUAUUUUUUAUUUCAUUUUCUUUUUUUUUCUUGAGGAGGAGGAAGGAAUAAAUGACACCAAAUUCUGUAAUGGAAAGAAAAAAAAAAAUAGUGUGUAUCGGAAACUGCUGCUGAGUGACUCACGCUGCCGGACAAACGGAACCUCACUCAUCACUCCAUCUUCAUCCUCCUCCUCUGGUGAGAGAAAAAGUCUUGGAAAAAUAUCAGCACCCCCCCCCGCCCCGUUGCUUCUCCAGUGGCAUCUGUACACAGGGAAGCGUUCCAAGCCACAGCAAUGGCUUCAUGUGCUUCUUGGGGCAGGCUUUUUUUUUUUUGGUGUUGUUUUAAUGGCCAACUAGGAAAAGCCUCCGAGGUGACCUUGGAAAAAUAUAUGCACCAAAGGAAAAAGGGUUUUUUUCUUCGGGGGGUGGGGGAGCAUUGGAGUUGGUGUGUGCUGUAUGUUAGGAGGGUUGUGCUUUUCUUUCCUAAUAGCGUUUUUUCCAAAUUUCCACUGAAAUAAAUUUGCAAGUUAUUAUUA